rnacentral:rRNA from 1 species
UACAGAGGUCUCAAGCGUUGUCCGGAAUCAUUGGGCGUAAAGAGCGUGUAGGCGGCCACUUAAGUCCUGCGUGAAAUCUUGCGGCUCAACCGCAAGCGGUCGUGGGAAACUGGGUGGCUAGAGUGCGGGAGAGGAGAGUGGAAUUCCUGGUGUAGCGGUGGAAUGCGCAGAUAUCAGGAAGAACACCCGUGGCGAAGGCGGCUCUCUGGAACGCAACUGACGCUGAGACGCGAAAGCGUGGGGAGCAAACAGG